rnacentral:rRNA from 1 species
AUGGGGAUGCGUCCGAUUAGCUAGACGGCGGGGUAACGGCCCACCGUGGCGACGAUCGGUAGGGGUUCUGAGAGGAAGGUCCCCCACACUGGAUCUGAGACACGGUCCAGACUCCUACGGGAGGCAGCAGUGAGGAAUAUUGGUCAAUGGGCGCAAGCCUGAACCAGCCAAGUAGCGUGAGGGAAGACUGCCCUAUGGGUUGUAAACCUCUUUUGUGCGGGGAUAAAGUGUGGGACGUGUCCCAUAUUGCAGGUACCGCACGAAUAAGGUCCGGCUAAUUCCGUGCCAGCAGCCGCGGUAAUAGGGAAGGUCCGGGCGUUAUCCGGAUUUAUUGGGUUUAAAGGGAGGCGCAGGCCGUCCUUUAAGCGUGCUGUGAAAUGCCGCGGCUCAACCGUGGCACGGCAGCGCGAACUGGAGGACUUGAGUACGCACGAGGUAGGCGGAAUUCGUGGGGUAGCGGUGAAAUGCUUAGAUAUCAGGAAAAGGUCCGAUUG